CCUUCCUCAUCCCCAUCCAAAAAGAAGAAAUCCACCACGGGCAGGUGAGCAGCGACCAAACGUCAACAUUCCUCGGAUCCCACCUCCCAACCAGCAAUAAAGGACAUUUGCCCGAAGACAACCUUUAUGUCCUUGAAUUCAUUAGAGGUUUUAAAUACCUCUACAGCCAAACGUUUGGCUUUCAUGACGCACUCGACAGUCUUCUUCUCGGCCUCAGCUACCCUCGAGGCCAUCUCCCACCACAACUCUUGCUCGAAGAUCUCCACCUUUCUCAGGGCCUUUGUAACAACUUUCGCCUUUUCCUCUACCUGGAUGGCCCA
rnacentral:lncRNA from 1 species